UGGCUAGUAGAUCAGCAAUGUGACAUGAGCAUUAUUCAGCCUCCUGGUUUUUGCAAACCGUCGGUGGUUUGGAUUAUAUUGAUUUGAUGGGCACAUUGAUUCAAUCAUUUCAUUUUGAAAUUAAUUAGUUUUCAAAUAAAGUUUAAUAUUAACUCAUUUAGUAUGACAAUUUGUGCGAAUACUAGAUGUAUCAUGUAUGUGUAUCAAUGUUACGAUUUUGUCCACUAAAAAAAAAAGAAUGUUAUGAUUUGGCAGUUUGAUUUAAAUUAGAUCAAUUUACAUCAUAUGAUCA
rnacentral:lncRNA from 1 species